GUCGUGUUAGGAAAAUACGACGAAUACUUCUACCCGAAGAGGAAUGUUAUCCACGAGCGACCGUGUUUCCACCAGAGAGUACAGCGGCCCGGCCGUACGCCAGUCCGAGGAGGUGACGAGGCAAGUGCACGAGCAAGGGGAGGCGUGCGCAGCGGUGCAGGAGGUCUCUCAUCCGAAAACUGCAUUCAGAGGGAAGCA